UUUUUUAUUGAGAAGGAGAAUCAAAUUAAAUUAUCAUUAUUAUAAACAACAAAGUCUCUUGUCCAAUCAGGUUCAUCAUCGAUUGCACUCAUGGUUUUUUCCAGUACCGGUUGGGCUUUCUAGCAUGGAGAUUCCACCUUGGUUGAGAUUGGUAGAGAGCGUUCAUGAAAUCGAUUUGGAUAGAAUAUGGGUUUGA